rnacentral:rRNA from 1 species
CACGUAGGGUGCGAGCGUUGUCCGGAAUUAUUGGGCGUAAAGAGCUCGUAGGCGGUGUGUCGCGUCGGCCGUGAAAACCUGCAGCUUAACUGUGGGCGUGCGGUCGAUACGGGCAUCACUGGAGUUCGGCAGGGGAGACUGGAAUUUACGGUGUAGCGGUGAAAUGCGUAGAUAUCGUAAGGAAGACCAGUGGCGAAGGCGGGUCUCUGGAACGGUACUGACGCUGAGACGCGAAAGCGUGGGGAGCGAACAGG